UACGUAGGGUGCGAGCGUUAAUCGGAAUUACUGGGCGUAAAGCGUGCGCAGGCGGUUAUUUAAGUCAGGUGUGAAAGCCCUGGGCCUUAACCUAGGAAUUGCGCUUGAGACUGGAUAGCUUGGAGUGCGGCAGAGGGAGGUGGAAUUCCACGUGUAGCAGUGAAAUGCGUAGAGAUGUGGAGGAACACCGGAUGGCGAAGGCAGCCCC
rnacentral:rRNA from 1 species